CUCCUUAAGUAUUUGAGGUCAACAAAGAUUAUCAAUUGUAUUUACAAUAGACAAUGCUUAUAAAGAUCGUGCACAGGCAAUGUUAAUCGAUCUAUCUGAUUAAUGCCUGUUAGUAUAUUCAGAUACGGGUCAGUGUACGACUUUUUGCAAUGUAUGAAACAAAUCCAAUACUAGUAACUCAUAUUGAUCGAACAAUACAUGUUUUGAUUUGUGACAUAACUAUAUGUAUAACCGGAAAAGAGGCAUUUCAUCACUCGGUUAUGGGAAUAAAUUUAAGCUAACCAUAACAUUAUUCAUGUAGUUUAAUCAGGUAAAUG
rnacentral:lncRNA from 1 species